UUGUGUUUCCCUGAUGGUUCUAGAAGCUGCCAGGAUGGAUGAACAAUACACUCAGAAGAUUCUAUAAUAAGGCAAUGAGAGGAAGCACAGUCAAGUCUGAGAACCACCUUGUCUCUGGAAUGUAGCAAGCCAAGGAGUGAGAAUUUCAUGGCAGCUUGGGUUCUGCUUAAAAUGGUGGCCCUCUGCUGCUUGAUCUCCCUCUCGCUUCAUGACAAUAUGUUCUGUAUGUGAUCUGGACAUCAGCAUUCUGGGAAGUGAAAUCUAAAACAUCUGGAGGACCAAAGAUGGAUGAUCACAGUUUGAGGGCAUCCUCUACAAAUAAAGGAAGCAGAAACACACUGAUGCUGUGAGAUGUAGAUCUUGCUAUACUAAAAGCCCAACAAAUGAGCAAAUUGAUUGUAAAUCAACUCUUUCCUGUGACAUAAAACCUGAAUCAGGAACCUGUGUUUCCAUCAGAGGCUAUCAGGAUGGAGAGCUACAGUGGAUAGACCAAGGCUGCUGGCGAAAGUCCUCCGCUCUUUGUGGUAUAACAGCAGAUUACCCCAAGGGACUGUACACCGUAACCAAAUGUUGUGAAGACAAUGAUUUUUGCAAUCAAUAUCUGUAGGAAAGGCUUAAAGCAACCUGGAGUACUUUAAUCUACUUGAAUGCAUUAAAACACUGAGUCUUACCAAUCCCCAUUUGGGGCAAUAGGUAAAAUCUGGAACCCAAUAAACAAACAACCAAAAUCGACGUAUCUUCUUUC
rnacentral:lncRNA from 1 species